UGGACUUCGAGGUGGUGAUGAUCGAGGUUCAAAAUUCGCAUGAAGAGGUGAGUUAAAAUAUCAAAAUAACUUAUAAAAGUAAGCCGUGCCUUUUCAAUAACCUCACCUAUAAUUUAACUUGAAUCUAGGUUGAAGGAAAUAAGCAAUUCCCUUGCGACUUUUGUGAGAAAAUUUGCAAGUCAAAGGGUGGUCUAACAAAACAUCAAUAUCCUUCUGAAACUUUAUAUUAUAAAUUAAAAGAAAGAAGAGCAAAGAACACUGUCUAAAGGAGUUUUAUGGCAAUACAAACGCCCAUUGGCAACAAUAUUUUCAUCCUUAUCCUAACAAGAAGAUUAUGUUUUUCAUCCUAAUUCAUCUCCCAGAGCGUUUGUUGACAUGUAUUGCGCAACCAUUUGACUCUGAGGUAAUUGUUUUCUGAGUUUCUGACAUAGUUAUAUUUAUCAGUUUGACCCAGCUAGCUAGAUGGUGUAUGUCUGGAGGUAGUGUAUUUCAAUAAGGUCUAUAAAUUGUAUAAUAUAUAAUACUGGUCAAACCUAUAUAAAGUUCCCUCAAAUUAUUUAAUAAUUUUAAAAUACAACUACCCUGUACCCACGACCAUCUUGGUUUCCAAAAGGUAAUGGACCAGGGUAAUAUCCCUGGGUAGAAAUAUAGUAGCUCAAUUUACCCAGUGUAUUAGCAUUUAUUGUAUUUUUAUUAACUUAUUUUAGGAAGAAGUUUCUGUAUCAUCACAAGAGCUUGGCCAUUGACCUAUUUGGCUGGUUAUGAACUCAUGAUAAGAUCUUUGUAUCGAAAAAGCAAGAAUUGUUCCAGGUGGCACUCCCAGAGAAACAAAGAAAUUCAAGCCUUGAUGUAUUCAAUGCGAACUGCAACAAAGGACAAUGAGUACAUUUAAUCGUUGUGGUGGCCUUUGGUCACCUCAUUUAUGGCUUGUAAGUGUAAUGGAAGUUAGUGAGUUAGUUUUUAGUAAAAGACAAGUUCACUUGUCUCCCAGUAGACAAAAUAGUGAAUGAAGUUUUGGUUUCUUCCCUUGUGAAAAGCUUGUGGUGCAAUAUUAUUGCAAAUUAUGAUAUGGAAAUCUCUAAAGAAUGUCAAUCCCUGUGUUUAGAAAAUAUUGUAAAGUUAUAUGUUACUGUUAGAUGUUUUUCAUUUGCCAAAGAUACUGUAAAUAAUGUGUGACUAGUGAAGUGAUGUAAUUAAUCAAUAUUAAAUGUAUUCCUUGAACCCUUUUGCCACCAAAGAAGUACAUUAGUUUUUUUAAGGUCACAUCUUUAAAAUGUUAUUGCAUUUGACCAAAUGUCCAGCUUAAAUAUAAUCUAGGGUAUUGAAAAACCAUAACCAGUCACUGUCACACAUGGUAUGACAGAUUUGAAGUGCAUGAUCACAUGAUCUACUGAAAUCUAGCAGGUUUCUAAUUAGCAAUCCAACCUGAGGUUUAUAAAUAUUUGAUGUUUGGAUGAUUUUUAUAGUUUAAUUAAUUUUAUGAUGAUAAUUUUAUGAUAGAUGUAUUUUGUAUGAAUCUCGUAAGUAAAGGAGUCCAAUAUAGUUAAUUAAAAAUCUUCUAAAUUUUAUGAGAUUUUAGCACUUCAUGUGACAAGCAUCUACCAGGGUCUUUUCUCCCCAAAAGAAAAGAUCCUGGAUACAAGGUUGGUCGAGACAUUGUUACUAAAAUAUUUAUUGCAACUGAAUGCUAAAUGUAAAUAUUUUUUAGUAGGUUUUAAUUGUAAAUAUUUAUAUAGUGAUGAAAAAAUAUGUACACUAAUUCACUACUACAUUUCAGUUUAAUUAAUUAAAGGGUAUUAUUAUGGAGUAAAUCUAGCAUUAUUUGAAAGAGAUACACUUAAAUACUGAUUGGAUAGGAAUGAGUAUUUAACACUCCUUGUGAAGUGCUACACCACCUUUCACUGUGGUCAGCUUAUAAGCAAU